AUUGAACGCUGGCGGCAUGCUUUACACAUGCAAGUCGAACGGCAACGAUUAGAAGCUUGCUUCUCUGUCGGCGAGUGGCUGACUUGUGAGUAUAGCAUCGGAACGUGCCUAGUUGUGGUGGCUAACCCAACGAAAGUUUGUCUAAUACCGCGUAAGCUCCCAGGAGGAAAUUAUGAUACCUCAAUACGUCCUUACCCUAUUUCAUCGGCUGAUGUCGGAUGUGCUAGUUGGUGGGGUAAUUGCUCACCAAGGCAAUGAUCCGUAGCGGGUCUGAUAGGACGAACCGUCACACGGGGAGUGAGACACGGCCCAGACACCGAAGGGAAGAAGCAGUGGGGAAUUUUGGACGAUGGGGGAAACGCUGAUACAGCCAAGCCGAGUGUAUGAAGAAGGACUGAGGGUUGUAAAAUACAUAUGUUAGGGAAGAAAAGCUAGUUUUUAAUAAAAAUUAGUGAUGACGGUACCUAAAGAAUAAGCACCGGCUAACUACGUG
rnacentral:rRNA from 1 species